rnacentral:rRNA from 1 species
AGGACGAACGCUGGCGGCGUGCUUAACACAUGCAAGUCGAGCGGUGAUCCUCCUUCGGGAGGUGAUCAGCGGCGAACGGGUGAGUAACACGUGGGCAACCUGCCCCUCACACUGGGAUAACCUCGGGAAACCGGGGCUAAUACCGGAUACGACCUCGAGCGGCAUCUCUUGAGGUGGAAAGCUCCGACGGUGAGGGAUGGGCCCGCGGCCUAUCAGCUUGUUGGUGGGGUAAUGGCCUACCAAGGCGACGACGGGUAGCCGGCCUGAGAGGGCGACCGGCCACACUGGGACUGAGACACGGCCCAGACUCCUACGGGAGGCAGCAGUGGGGAAUAUUGCGCAAUGGGCGAAAGCCUGACGCAGCGACGCCGCGUGAGGGAUGAAGGCCUUCGGGUUGUAAACCUCGUUUCAGCAGGGACGAAGCGAAAGUGACGGUACCUGCAGAAGAAGCACCGGCUAACUACGUGCCAGCAGCCGC